UAUGUGAUCGUCUCUCGCAUAUCAAUAAGCGGAGGAAAAGAAACUAACAAGGAUUCCCCUAGUAACGGCGAGUGAAGCGGGAAGAGCUCAAAUUUGAAAUCUUAAAGGGUUUCCCUUUACGAAUUGUAGUUUAAAGAAGUGUUUUCUGUUGAGGUUUUGGUAAAAGUUCUUUGGAAUAGGACAUCAUAGAGGGUGAGAAUCCCGUAUUUGACCUUUACUUUCAACUUUGUGAUACACUUUCAAAGAGUCGGAUUGUUUGGGAAUGCAGUCCAAAAUGGGUGGUAAAUUUCAUCUAAAGCUAAAUAUUGGCGAGAGACCGAUAGCGAACAAGUACCGUGAGGGAAAGAUGAAAAGAACUUUGAAAAGGAGAGUUAAACAGUACGUGAAAUUGUCAAAAGGGAAGCGUUUGACACCAGUGUUGUUUUUCUGAAAAUCAAUUAAAGAACUGUUUAUGCUAAGCUUGUUUAGACUUUAUCAGCUAAUCUGCUUAGUUUUGAGCUUUUCUUUAAUGCACUUUUCAGUUAACAAGUCAACAUCAAUUUCUUUUGCUGUAAAAAAGCUUGAGGAAGGUGGCUUGAGAUUCGUCUUAAGUGUUUAUAGCCUCUUGCCUAUGCAGUCGGAGAGAUUGAGGUCUGCAGCGUAGAUCCUUCGGGGCUAAAUGCAUUUGUGCUAAGUUAUAGCAUUUUAUAGACAACUUGUUGACUAUGAUUUGUCUUGUAGCUUACUCGCUUAUGUUAUUUUACCUACGCUUAGGAUGUUGAGUAGCGACAUACGCAC
rnacentral:rRNA from 1 species